rnacentral:rRNA from 1 species
GGUUCAGGAUGAACGCUGGCGGCGUGCCUAACACAUGCAAGUCGAACGAAGCAUACGGACCGGAGAUUCGUCGAAGGACCGCAUGACUUAGUGGCGGACGGGUGAGUAAUGUAUGAGCAACCUGCCUUUCAGAGGGGGACAACAGUUGGAAACGACUGCUAAUACCGCGUAACGUAUCGUGAGGGCAUCCUCGUGAUACCAAAGGAGCAAUCCGCUGAAAGAUGGGCUCAUAUCUGAUUAGCUUGUUGGCGGGGUAACGGCCCACCAAGGCGACGAUCAGUAGCCGGACUGAGAGGUUGAACGGCCACAUUGGGACUGAGAUACGGCCCAGACUCCUACGGGAGGCAGCAGUGGGGAAUAUUGGGCAAUGGGCGAAAGCCCUGACCCAGCAACGCCGCGUGAAGGAAGAAGGUCUUCGGAUUGUAAACUUCUUUUAUGAGGGACGAAGGACGUGACGGUACCUCAUGAAUAAGCCACGGCUAACUACGUGCCAGCCGCCGC